GCUGGCCGCUCUUGUGCUCGGGAUGAGAGAUGAGCUUUAAAUGCCGCGCUGGCGGGAAUGCGCCGUCUCCUCUUUAGGGAAGCGGAUUAGCCAGCAGGCCAAUGGCCACGCAAGCUCAUAAGACCUCGGUGAACAAGAUGAAGGUGAGGCACGUGAACGCCAUCAAGGAUGAAGACUGUGACAUGAUGACGAUCAACAAGCUAGAACUUGAGGAGCAAGAGGAUAAAGAUGAACUUGAGGAGGAAGACCACUAAGAAGGUCAAGAUCCUCCUCUGCAUCUGUUGCCAUGGUGACGACACAAAUCAGUUUCAAUGAUUUGUUUUGUUUUUUAAUUGCAUUAAAGCUCCCGUGGUUAACGAGCAAAUAUUUUUGCACGUAGCCACGGCCAGUGUUGGGGCGAGCCGUCCAAUGAGAGGGCGUCGAGUUGGACGCUAGGCGUCGCCCUCGAACAUUUUCUUCCUGCCGUCCAUGCCCGACUUGUCCUCGAUGUUCUUGCGCCAGUCCACAACAUCGCGCAGCUCUUUGUCCUGAAAAGCAACAAAAAAUAUCAACCGUGAAGAACGUGCCGAUGUUGCCGACACGUUUGCGCGAGCGACUGACCUCGUCCUUGACCUCCUUCUUGACCUGCUUGAGGUUGGCCCUGAGCUCCAUGUUGACGGUGUGCUUGGAGCCCAGCAGCGCUUUGAGCAUGGCGUCGGCCGACAUGCGCACCUUCCUCAGCGUGGGCUUCUUGAACUUGCCCGUCACAUCCUGCACUUUGAUCUUGAGGUCAUCUAUCUGCACACGAGGCAACAGUGAGACGGUGCGACACA